AUUGAACGCUGGCGGCAGGCCUAACACAUGCAAGUCGAGCGCGAAAGGCCUUCGGGCUGAGUAGAGCGGCGGACGGGUGAGUAACGCGUAGGAAUUUACCUGGUAGUGGGGGACAACUUGUGGAAACGCAAGCUAAUACCGCAUACGACCUAAGGGUGAAAGUGGGGGACCUUCGGGCCUCACGCUAUCGGAUGGACCCGCGGCGUAUUAGUUAGUUGGUGAGGUAACGGCUCACCAAGACGAUGAUACGUAGCCGACCUGAGAGGGUGAUCGGCCACAUUGGGACUGAGACACGGCCCAAACUCCUACGGGAGGCAGCAGUGGGGAAUAUUGGACAAUGGGCGAAAGCCUGAUCCAGCAAUGCCGCGUGUGUGAAGAAGGCCUGCGGGUUGUAAAGCACUUUCAGUAGGGAAGAUUAUGACGGUACCUACAGAAGAAGCACCGGCUAACUCCGUGCCAGCAGCCGC
rnacentral:rRNA from 1 species